UCCUCGGUGGCUCAGAGGUUAAAGCGUCUGCCUCCAGUGCAGGAGACCCGAGUUCGAUCCCUGGGUCGGGAA
rnacentral:tRNA from 1 species